rnacentral:rRNA from 1 species
ACGUAGGGUGCGAGCGUUAAUCGGAAUUACUGGGCGUAAAGCGUGCGCAGGCGGUUGUGUAAGACAGGUGUGAAAUCCCCGGGCUUAACCUGGGAACUGCGCUUGUGACUGCACGGCUAGAGUACGGCAGAGGGGGGUGGAAUGCCGCGUGUAGCAGUGAAAUGCGUAGAGAUGCGGCGGAACACCGAUGGCGAAGGCAGCCCCCUGGGCUGAGAUUGACGCUCAGGCACGAAAGCGUGGGGAGCAAACAGGA